rnacentral:rRNA from 1 species
CGGACGGGUGAGGAACACGUGGGUUAUCUACCUUGAGGUGAGGAAUACCGGCGAGAAAUCGCCGACAAUACCGCAUACCCUUUGCAAAAAGGAAAGCCUCGCAAGAGGCGCCACAAGAUGAGCCUGCGGCCGAUUAGCUGGUUGGUGGGGUAACGGCCUACCAAGGCGACGAUCGGUAGCUGGUCUGAGAGGACGAUCAGCCACACUGGGAUUGAGAACGGCCCAG